UACGGAGGGUGCAAGCGUUAUCCGGAUUCACUGGGUUUAAAGGGUGCGUAGGCGGGCAGGUAAGUCAGUGGUGAAAUCCCCGAGCUUAACUCGGGAACUGCCAUUGAUACUAUCUGUCUUGAAUAUUGUGGAGGUAAGCGGAAUAUGUCAUGUAGCGGUGAAAUGCUUAGAUAUGACAUAGAACACCUAUUGCGAAGGCAGCUCACUACACAAAGAUUGACACUGAGGCACGAAAGCGUGGGGAUCAAACAGG
rnacentral:rRNA from 1 species